rnacentral:pre_miRNA from 1 species
AGUGGGAUAACUGGGUCAAGUGGUGGUUGUAGUCCAAGUUUUCUGAGAAAUAUCCAUAUUGCUUUUCAGAGUGUUUCCACCAAUUUGCAGUUCCUCCAGCAAU